CCUACGGGGUGCAGCAGUGAGGAAUAUUGGUCAAUGGGCUUACGCCUGAACCAGCCAAGUCGCGUGAGGGAAGACUGCCCUAUGGGUUGUAAACCUCUUUUGUCAGGGAGCAAUUGGCGCUACGUGUAGCGUUAUCGAGAGUACCUGAAGAAAAAGCAUCGGCUAACCCCGUGCCAGCAGCCGCGGUAAUACGGAGGAUGCGAGCGUUAUCCGGAUUUAUGGGGUUUAAAGGGUGCUGAGGCGGAAUGCCAAGUCAGCGGUAAAAUCGCGGGGCUCAACCUCGCUCCGCCGUUGAAACUGGCGGUCUUGAGUGGGCGAGAAGUAUGCGGAAUGCGUGGUGUAGCGGUGAAAUGCAUAGAUAUCACGAAGAACUCCGAUUGCGAAGGCAGCAUACCGGCGCCCAACUGACGCUGAAGCACGAAAGCGUGGGUAUCGAACAGGAUUAGAUACCCUAGUAGUC
rnacentral:rRNA from 1 species